GAUGAAGAACGCAGCAAAAUGCGAUAAGUAAUGUGAAUUGCAGAAUUCAGUGAAUCAUCGAAUCUUUGAACGCACAUUGCGCCCGCCAGUAUUCUGGCGGGCAUGCCUGUCUGAGCGUCAUUUCAACCCUCAUACCCCUAGGGCGUGGUGUUGGGGAUCGGCCAAAGCCCGCGAGGGACGGCCGGCCCCUAAAUCUAGUGGCGGACCCGUCGUGGCCUCCUCUGCGAAGUAGUGAUAUUCCGCAUCGGAGAGCGACGAGCCCCUGCCGUUAAACCCCCAACUUUCCAAGGUUGACCUCAGAUCAGGUAGGAAUACCCGCUGAACUUAAGCAUAUCAAUAAGCGGAGGA
rnacentral:misc_RNA from 1 species